GGAUUCCCCUAGUAACUGCGAGUGAAGAGGGAAAAGCUCAAAUUUAAAAUCUGGUAGUCUUUGGCUGCCCGAGUUGUAAUUUAGAGAAGUGUUACCCGUUGUUGGGCCGUGUACAAGUCUCCUGGAAUGGAGCGUCAUAGAGGGUGAGAAUCCCGUCUUUGACACGGACUCCAAUGCGUUGUGGUAUGCUCUCAAAGAGUCGAGUUGUUUGGGAAUGCAGCUCUAAAUGGGUGGUAAAUUCCAUCUAAAGCUAAAUAUUGGGGAGAGACCGAUAGCGAACAAGUACCGUGAGGGAAAGAUGAAAAGAACUUUGGAAAGAGAGUUAAACAGUACGUGAAAUUGCUGAAAGGGAAACGCUUGAAGUCAGUCGCGUUAGUUGGGGAUCAGCCUUCCUUUUGGUUGGUGUACUUCCCAGUUGACGGGUCAGCAUCAGUUUUGACCAGUGGAUAAGAGCUUGAGGAAUGUGGCACCUUCGGGUGUGUUAUAGCCUCUUGUUGUAUACAUUGGUUGGGACUGAGGAACUCAGUACGCCGCAAGGCCGGGUUUUUAACCACGUUCGUACUUAGGAUGCUGGCAUAAUGGCUUUAAUCGA
rnacentral:rRNA from 1 species